rnacentral:lncRNA from 1 species
CAUGACGAAAGAUCUCGGUCGAGAGAGCGAGAGCCAGAAGGCCAAUAUCCGGUAGGAGGAGAAGAAACUUCUUCUCGAUCUCAUGAGCAGCUGAUGGAUAAUUCUCAAUCGACGAUCCAUAGAUAUUUGCUAUCAGGCAUCAUUUCGGCUACAGUUUCUGUCGAAAUAUACUUCGAAUUUUGUACCCAUAACUUGAUCUGUUCGAGCUGCCCAAUCCCAAGAUGGAUAUGAAAGAU